CUCUGGGACAGGUGCUGCAUGGCUGUCGUCAGCUCGUGUCGUGAGAUGUUGGGUUAAGUCCCGUAACGAGUCGCAACCCUUAUCCUUAGUUGCCAACAGGUCAAGCUGGGAACUCUAGGGAGACUGCCGGUGAUAAACCGGAGGAAGGUGGGACGACGUCAAGUCAUCAUGGCCCUUAUGGGUAGGGCUACACACGUGCUACAAUGGCCGGUACAGAGGGCAGCGAACUUGCGAGAGUAAGCAAAUCCCAGAAAGCCGGUCCUAGUCCGGAUUGCAGUCUGCAACUCGACUGCAUGAAGUCGGAAUCGCUAGUAAUCGCGAAUCAGAAUGUCGCGGUGAAUACGUUCCCGGGCCUU
rnacentral:rRNA from 1 species